rnacentral:rRNA from 1 species
AUGUCGGACGACGGCGGCGCCGGCGAGCCGCUCAGCGGCGACCAGAAGCGGGAGAUCGCCGUCUGGUUCCUCGCCAACGCCCCCACCGGCGAGAUCCACUACGUCGCCAAGGAUGUGCGGGCGUUGCUGGGGGACGACGCCGCGUACGAGGCCGCGGCCGCCGAGGCCUACCCGGAGUACAACAAGACGCACCUCGUCUCCCUCGAGCUCCCAGACCGCAGCGGCGAUAUAAUCAUCACAACUUAUGGGGAGAUUGACAGGAACAACUAUCUGGACCCUAGGACCGCACAAAUUGCUACCGUGGACCAUGUUAAGCAGACUUGUACAAAAUUGAGGCCUGCUACAGAUGAGGAGCUUCCGUCAGGAUAUAUUGAAGAAUUUAGGAGUGCUAUAGAUUAUGAAGUGUCCAAAUAUGUUGGUGAAGCUUAUCCAAAAGGUGUUUCUGCCGUUUAUUGUACCAAUGGAAAGGAUCUAGAGGAACCAGGAGCUGAUUUUGGUUUGGCAGUAGUUAUUUCUGCUGCUAGACGAAGCCCACGGAACUUUUGCAAUGGCAGCUGGCGUUCCAUUUGGACUUUGGAAUUCAGUUAUGCGUUUCAACUUGUAGAAAUUAAAGGAAAGAUACAGGUAGAUGCUCAUUAUUUUGAAGAGGGAAAUGUGCAGCUGGAUACUGAUGUUGAUCGCAAGGACUCCACAAUAAUGCAGUCACCUGAAGACACUGCACACACAGUUGCUAACAUCAUUCGGCAUCACGAGUCCGAGUAUUUUUCAUCUCUCGAGGAAUCAUACUUGAAUCUCUCCGACGCAACGUUCAAGGAUCUUCGGAGGAAACUUCCGGUUACCCGCACCCUUUUCCCAUGGCAUAACACGCAUGCCAUCACCCUCACGCGGGACCUCGCCAAAGAGCUAGGGAUAGGGAAAGGAAGCCAUGUCACUAGGUAG